CCUGGCUGCUGAGGGUUUGCACAAUGGCUCCUUCCUCCCGAGCACUGUCCGUAUCACCUUGCUUGUUGGAACAGAUCCUGGAAAAGGCCCAAGUUUGUUGAAAAGCAUCCCGCACGAGGCUGAGGAGCAGCUCCUGCACCGCUGGUGGAAGCUGCAGCAGGUCUCCUGCAUACUGGUCACCGCGGAUCCACACCAGGGCCCCAAAAGCCCGGGUCACCUCUGUCUCCCAAACCCCCCGGGGGGUGACCAUAGGGGCAGGGCCCCAGCGCAGACGUGCCACCAACUCCUCCAGCCAGUUCUGUAUCAUGGUGAAAGACUCAGUCAGCCCGCCCACCAUCAAGGAGCCUGGGGGACCAGGCACCAGGGACCGGUGACAGGAUAAUGAGAAUCAAGUUUGGUGUCAAGAGACCUCACACUAGUUCUAAUGGCCUUAUUCGACCAGGAAGGAUUGCAGGAAAUGUGCCAACUUCUCGGAGCCUCAGCCUCUUCACCUACAGCAUGGCGAGUUAAGCUAGACAUGCUUGGGCCCAGGCCCCACCUUGGCACUGCAGAACUGUGUGGCACCUGGGGGGAGGGGCUACACACUUUUAAGUAUUCUCAUGUGCUGAGAAUGUGAGCAGCCUGGGCCAAGUUAGCAAUUCCCUCCUCCCAACGGUGCCUCCCAUCCAAUCCUGCCUCGUCAGUCUCCUGGAAGCUUCAAUUAGUUAAGUGAGCUUGGCUUACUUAGAAUGGAGACUGGCACAGCCUGCUCCCAUUUUCUCAUAAGAUGAGAAAAUAAUAAUAAUAAAAAUAAUAAGUGUACACAGCUCAGCUGUGCCUGCACCAGAUCACAGCCUGUAUCUACCUGACUAAAGCCAGAGCUCGCUGCACCUCCUCUGGCUGACAGCACAGUGACUUCCAGGUAAUCCUGUAGAAUUCUGGUUUAAUCCCCUUCCAGAAGCUCUGGGCACAACCUGUACCCGUAACCAUGGUAACUGUCACCCAGCAGUGGAGAUAAAGUUGCUGAGCCAGUAUCCAGAGGAAUGUCCCACAGAUCCUCAUUUUGUCUAACCAGAAUGAAAGCCUCGAGUUCCCUAGCUGACCAGCCCUCGUGUUCGCAGGGAAAGCAGCUGGCUUCAUCCACCUACCAGUGUAAUCCUAAACAGAAAACAAUUUCAGCAAUCUAUUGAUAAAUGAUUCAGCAAAGUAGGAAAAACAUCAAAAUAGAGUGAUGUUAUUUGUAAAAAUCUAUUGCCUAACGUUCCACAGAUCUUCUGUCACUUUGAAGUUAAAUAAAAACAUUAGCACCAAACAACAUCAUACCAGUCUAUGAGUGUCAAGGUGCUUAUGACUUCACAGGAUCCUUCCUUCUUUUCCCUUGAGACAG